CUACAUGAAGCUGGAAUUGCUAGUAAUCACAGGUCAGCAUACUGUGGUGAAUACGUUCCCGGGCCUUGUACACACCGCCCGUCACACCAUGAGAGUUGAGAAUACCCGAAGCCCAUGUCAAAGUGGUCGAAGGUAGGCUUGAUGAUUGGGGUGAAGUCGUAACAAGGUAGC
rnacentral:rRNA from 1 species